GACGAACGCUGGCGGCGUGGAUUAGGCAUGCAAGUCGAACGGUAUCAUCCUUUCGGGGGUGAGAGAGUGGCGAACUGGUGAGUAACACGUAGGUUAUCUACCCUCAAGACGGGGACAACCCAGGGAAACUUGGGCUAAUACCGGAUGUGAGCAACUUUUAGUUGUUUGAAAGGUGGCGUAAGCUGUCGCUUGGGGAUGAGCCUGCGUCCUAUUAGUUAGUUGGUGAGGUAACGGCUCACCUAGGGCAAUGAUAGGUAGGCGGCCUUAACGGGUGGUCGCCCACACUGGGAUUGAGAUACGGCCCAGACUCCUACGGGAGGCAGCAGUCGAGAAUAGUCUACAAUGGUCGGAAGACUGAUAGUGCGACGCCGCGUGAACGAUGAAUCCCUUCGGGGUGUAAAGUUCUUUUAUAUGUGAGCAGUGCUUCUUAUAUUAACAGUAUGGGGAGAGAGAUAUUAGCAUAUGAAUAAGCAACGGCUAACUCCGUGCCAGCAGCCGCGGUAAACUCGU
rnacentral:rRNA from 1 species